rnacentral:rRNA from 1 species
GAUGAACGCUGGCGGCGUGCUUAACACAUGCAAGUCGAACGGAAAGGCUCCUGCUUGCAGGGGCACUCGAGUGGCGAACGGGUGAGUAACACGUGGGUGAUCUGCCCUGCACUUCGGGAUAAGCCUUGGAAACUGGGUCUAAUAUCGGAUAGGACCACAUUUUGGAUGGUGUGGUGGAAAGUUUUUCGGUGUGGGAUGGGCUCGCGGCCUAUCCGCUUGUUGGUGGGGUAAUGGCUUACCAAGGCGCCGACGGGUAGCCGGCCUGGGAGGGUGUACGGCCACAUUGGGACUAAGAUACGGAGCAGACUCGUACGGGAGGCAGCAGUGGGGAGUAUUGCGCAAUGGGCGCAAGCCUGAUGCGGCGACGCCGCGUGGGGGAUGACGGCCUUCGGGUUGUAAACACCUUUCGCUGGGGACGAAGCGCAAGUGACGGUACCUGGAGAAGAAGCACCGGCUAACUACGUG